GUAACAACUUACUUGGCCGGGAUCUCCAGAUACCUUUGAAAGUUGGAGUAGUUCCACAAGAAGGAAGGAUGAAGGUCAAAUUGUUUACUUUAUCCACACAAGAUGAACAACUGAUUAAUCCUACAGUGUAGGCCCGACCAGAUUCUCCUUCUAGACACCUGUUUGCCUUCACCUGGGAAGAUCCAGACACUGGAAGGAAACAGCAGCUCACCUGGACCUGGCGACUGCAAGGGUACAUGGAGUCUCCCACACUCUUCGGUCAGGCCUUGGAGAGGCUGUUCAUUUCCUUUUCUCCACCCUCAGGAACACAAGUAACACAGUAUGUAGACGACAUACUACUCUCCAGAGAGCAAGAAUCCACUGUAAAAUUAGGCACCAAUCAAUUACUGAACCUUCUAGGAGAGAAUGGACUAAGAGUAUCUAAAUCCAAAUUACAAUUUGUUAAACCGAAGUAAAAUAUUUCGGACAUGUAAUUGGUCAUGGUACCAGAAAAUUGAGUACUGAAAGGAUAGAAGGAAUUUUAAAUUUACAACCUCCACAAAAAAAGAGCGAGGUUAGACAAUUAUUAGGCUUAAGGAGGUAUUGUAGAAUAUGGAUUGAUUAACACACACAAAGUGUCACAAUUUUAUAUGAAAAACUAACUACAUCAGAACCUAUUAAUUGGACCCAAGAGGAUAAUAAAAACUUAGACAAUUUAAAGCAAAACAUGAUUCAGACCCCAGUUCUCUUUCUUCCUUCACUAGAAGAAGAUUUUCACCUAUAUAUUAAACCUAUAUAGGAAUUACUUACGGGGUCUUGGCCCAAGAGUGGUCAGGAUUUCAUAAACCUGUAGCCUACUUGUCCAUAUUGUUGGUCCCUGUGUCCCAAGGAUGGCAAACAUGCAUCCAAUCAAUCGCUGCAGCAGCCAUCCUAGUAACAGCCAGGCAAAAACUUACAUUUGAGAGAAAUCUGAUAGAAUACAUACCACACUCCAUCCAAACCAUUCUUAAACAACGAGCAGCCGAAUGGCUAACAGACUCUCAUAUUACACAAUAUGGGAGCACCCUCAUCCAUUCCACAAAUGUAACCCUGAAAACAACCACCCACACCAAUCCCACACAGUUCCUAUGCUGAAUCCCCAAAAACAAGAUCUCAUGCACAACUGCAUAGUUUUUAUAAACCUGCAAACAAAAAUUCAAGAAGACCUCCUAGAGAGCCCAUUAGAUGAAGGAGAAAUCCUGUUCAUCGAUGGAUCAUGUAGAGUAGUAAAUGGAAAGAGGUGCUCUGGAUACUCCAUCAGAGAUGGAAAACAACUGUACAUGUUAGAAAAGGAAAACUACCACCUUCCUGGUCUACCCAGGUAUGUGAAUUAGAUGCUUUGGAAAAAGCAUUGCACAGACUAGACAGAGCUAUUGGAACCAUUUAUACUGACUCUAAAUAUGCAUAUGGAGUAGUCCACACGUUCGGGAAAAGCUGGGCUGAAAGAGGGUUUCUCAGAUCUAAGGGCAAAGACAUUUUACACAAAGAACUUAUAUUAAAAAUUAGAGGCACUUAAGUUACCGAAAGAAAUUGCAAUGGUACGUGUUCCAGGUCAUCAAAAGGGAUCUCUGGAGAAACCAGAGGAAACAUCCUAGCAGACCAUGCUGCAAAGGAGGCUGCUUUUGAGGGGGAAGUAAAGGAGAAACAACAUGAAUAGAACCAAGGCCAGUUCCAGGUAGGACGUUCCUGCAUUUAGGUCCCUUCCUGCAUCCAGGUACACUCCCAUGACAACCAAGGGGUUCGAACCCAGGAGAAAAAACAGAGAGCUUGAAAGGUCUGCACCACCUAUCAGAGAGUACCACAGCACUUCAAUCUUCCCAUUGACCCCUGAGCGAGGGAAGGGAAGGUGCGCCCUACUCCUCAUACUCUCCCUCUGGAUCCAGUAGAUCCCCCUUGUCAGAGCCUGCGUCUGCUGCCACCAAUGCUAACAUACAGUGUACCUGACCAAAGGAAACUCCUGCCGCAUAAAACACUCAUUCCAGGCACAUACUUAUGUAAAUCACUUUUGUUAUAAUAUGAUGACACUGAAUACAUGCUGAGAAUCAGGCAAAAAACAGUGGAUUGGUAGAAAUAUUGGAAAUGCAAACCAGAAAAGGAAUGGAGAGUGUCCUGGUCAAGAGAAUUGGCUAUGUUUCAAUUUUAAUUAUAUAGCCUAAAAGGAAGAUUUUUUUUAAAAAAGAAAAAAGGUUAAAGCUUAUCAAGUUGUUUUGGUUCGAGAAGUUCUAAUAACUGAAAGGGAGAAACAAAAAGAGGACAAUCCACUAGCUACCAAUAAAAACUUACUUAUUGUUUUAGCAGAAAAAAAUUAGUAAAAAUCAAAAUAUAACCAAUUGUUGGGUUUGUCGAGGCACCUUCAGAUCAGAAGCCUGACCUUGGUGAGGAGUCAGUAUUGGACCCCUCAAAUUACUUCAACUAAAUUAUUUCCCCUCUCAUGCUCCAAGAGAUCAAGACAAUUGGCUAUUGAGGAAACAGUUCUCCAAGAAGAAUGCAUCUGGAGAAAGAGAAAAAGAUAUAUUGAGGAAGUCGGAGAAACUACCUGUAAAAGAUAUUUACUAACUGAGAAUCACAAGAUGUGAUGGAUAUUGAACGAACCAGAUACGUUUUGGUCAAAGAAGAAAAUCAGAAACAAGAACUGCAUAUUACAUUCCAAUGAACAACUUUAUCAGUGCUGGGACCCUAAAAGUCAGCCUUUAUUCAGUAUUACCCCAAGUUUCUAAGCAUUGGACCUCCACUUUCAUCGCUCCUUCACAAUUUUGGGAGGCCCCCCAAGGUUUAUACUGGAAUUGUGGGCAAAGAGCAUAUUCUAAACUCCCUUCUCACUGGUGUGGCAAUUGUACCUUAGGAGCAAUACGACAUAGCCCCUUUCUACUAUCAGAAGCAGCUGGAAACCAGCUAGGAGUUCCCCUAGAUGAUGAAUUAAAGAGACAAAAAAGAUGUGAAAUAGGGGGAAUGCAACAAUGGGGCGAGGAAGAGUGGCCACCAGAGAGAAUUUUAGAAACUUACGGACCUGCCACUUGGGCUCAGGACAGGAGCUGGGGCUAUCAAACCCCCAUUUACAUGCUAAAUCACAUUAUUAGACUACAAGCCCUGAUUCAAGUCAUAUCUAAUCAGGCCAAGAGUGCAAUUGAUCUUUUCAACGCCCAUCAGAAGCAAAUGAAAACAGCUGUAUAUCAAAACUCUUUAGCCCUAGAUUAUUUAUUAGCCAAAGAGGGUGGAAUAUGUGGCAAUUUCAACACAUCAGACUGUUGUCUGCAUAUUGAUGACCAUGGUGAAACUAUUACUAAAAUUACCCAAAACAUCAGAAAGCUUACACAUGUUCCAGUCCGGUUUUCCCUCACUACACCUGAAUAGUGGAAAAACAUGUUCUCUGGGGAGUGGUGGAAGAAAGCCUUAAUUAUUUUUGGAGUUUCCUUAGUCAGCCUUCUCUUUCUCCCCUGCUUAAUCCCAUGUUUCAUUCAUCUAAUUACCUCAGUAGUACAAAGCAUGUUCGCUAUUCAAAAUCUUCAAACGAGCCAACAUUCUACCCCACCUGUCAAGAGAAUCAUGAAUCUCAACCCAAUCGAAAGAGAUAGAAAAAAGAGUAAAAAGGCCCAGCAAGUUUAGGUUAAUUCUAAACAAUUAAACACUAUCAACGAAAAACUAUCCACCUUUGUGUAAAUGCAAAAGCCAAUUAUUAACAUAAGGGGAAAAGGGAGACAUUGCAAUUUAUAAAACCCCUUAAAUGGCUUCUGCAUUAGUGACUGUUUUACAUUUGUAACCGUUAAUUAGCUUUUGCAUUUAUAACUGUUUAAAGUUACUAAUUUGAUCAAAUAAAAGUGUUCAAGUUAAUGAAGUAAAUAUUUUAAAAUCAUUAUAAAGUUAUACUAGUUAUUCAGUACAUUCCAAUUGAAUGUUUAACAGUCCUGUUAAAAUAGGUAGCAAAAUAAGAACCAUAUUAUUUUCAUAAUCCUUUGUUCUUAACCUAUUUACAUUAUUUGUAAAUUUAAUGAUCUCUUCUAAGUAGCCUUAUACUUUCAAAGGUCCCAGUGCAGUUUCCUCUCACCAACAGCAUGCAGCAUUUUACAGACAAUUUCUAACCCACUCCAGGUUGAACUGGUUACUUGAUGCCACAGCAAUGGUGCAUACUAAUGAGAGAGCUUCCCAUCAAAAACCUCAGAGAUAUCAUCCCACCCCAAUGACAGCACACUCUGGGAAAGAAGAUCUUACCUCAUCAUCUACUAGCACAAAUCACCAGAGACUAUGGGGGCAGAACUGCAAGUACAGACUGAGGGGACUGGGAACAUCAAAGGGGCAGCCUGGCCUGAAGAGCUGUCUUUGCUGUCUUUUACUGUUCCUGGGACUGUGACUUAGCUACAGCAGGGGACCCCACACUGCAGAUUUUGGUCAAUAUCUCUUUUUAGAGACCUUAUUCCAGAUUUGAGGGCAGACUAAGUGCAUUCACUGAAAUGCCCUUGGGUUCUUGCCUUGGGGCCAGACGCCAGUUCAGCUAGAGAUUUCCUCAAUCCUUGGGCCUGGGACUUUAUCCUUUUUUCUUUCUUUCCUUUCGUCUUUUUUCUUACCUCCCCUUUGUUUUUCCCCUUUAAAUAAACACCCUAUUUUUGUUCAAAUUGCCAAAGCUGUAUCUUUUUAUCACAUUCAGCAAA